GGACUGUAGCUCAGUUGGUUAGAGCACUGCACCGGAAUCGCAGGGCCGUAGGUUCGAUUCCUGCCGCUCG
rnacentral:tRNA from 1 species